GGGGGUGUAAGGGUUUCGACAGGGUAAAAAAGAAGAAUAGUGCAAGUAGUCAAACGUACCAGCAGGCUUUAAAUGCAGAUACAAAACAAUAAUUGCUAAUAAUAAUAACAAUUUCGAAUCUGUCCGCUUAGCGGCUUAAUCGGGAGGUUGCUUAGAACCUUCUUUUCAAUCUAAGCAAAACAACAGACAAGUUGCAAAAAUCAAAACCAUCUAAUGCAACAGGACGGUAAGCAAUAGAUUAUAACCGUAUAGCUUUUCAGUUUGUGACUAAAACUGAAUAAACUUGUGAAUGACUUGAAUUGUGAUUUAUCUUGGACGCCAGUUCGACUCUGGCCACCUCCACCA
rnacentral:tmRNA from 1 species